rfam:Ailuropoda melanoleuca scaffold251_124, whole genome shotgun sequence.
GCCUGGGUGGCUCAGUUGGUUAAGCGUCUGCCUUAGGCUCAGGUCAUGAUCCCAGGGUGUGGGACGGAGCCCCACCUCAGGCU